AGUUGUGACUCUGUGUCUCUCUCCUCCCCCUCUCCUCUCCUCUCCUUACUUUGUUUAAAAGAAUAGAAGCACACCCAGUGAGCAAGGCAUUGAGCAGCCCCACAUCCCGCUUCACAAUACCGCUACAUAUUGACUGACUGUUCGCAUUGUGUGUGUUUGGUAAGACAAACCACAUUUUCUACUUCUACUUUCUACGAUUGGGCAAGUCAGCGGUUGUUUGAUAACAGAACAUAAAACAUUACAGAGCGGGUUGAACUGCAUUGCUGCAAAUCAAGGCCCUUUAAAAUGUGUACCUUCCCAGCUCAGGUAUUGCUGAGGUAAAGAGACACUUCCUACAGGAGGACAGGACGUUGUCAAGGAGGGGAUGUCGUCACGUGUCCUGAGGGCUUUCUUAAAAACAUUGUUUUAUUAUUUCUAAGCGUACGUUGUUACUGCCUUUUAGCUCUUGAGCAUAAUAAUCUCAAUCCCGUUUGAAAUGACACUAAGUGCAUUUGCAUGGUGCAGAUGAGGGAUGUCGCUUCACUCGAGGCUUGUGUACUGAUGAAGAUGUAGUUUCAGUGUUUAAUGGUUAUCCCCUCACUGUGUGUGUGUGUGUGUGUGUGUGUGUGUGUGUGUGUUCUUGUCUCUCGCCUGUCCAGUGAGGAUGAAGAUGUAGUUUCAGUGUUUAAUGCUCAUCCCCUCACUGUGUGUUUGUGUGUUCUUGUCUCGACAGGUCUGUGAGGAUGAGAAGGUCUCCACAGUCUGGAGUCUGGUCUCUGACAGGCUCAACAUACCUGUCAAUCAACAGGGACUCCUCUACAAAGGCAAGGCGCUGGCAGAUGAGCACAGACUGUCACACGACUCCAUCGCUCCCGAUUCCAAGCUGAACUCGUUGUGACGCCCCCAACAGAGAAAGUGUCACCCUCGCAAGAACAGCACUCCCUGUGUCACCCCUCCUCUCAGACCUCACCCCUCACCCUCGCCUCACCCCUCCUGUCACACCUCACCCCUCACCACACCCCUCCUCUCACACCUCACCCCUCCUCUCACCCAUCGCCUCAACCCUCCUGUCACGCCUCGCCUCACCCCGGGUCAGUGUGGCACAGCCUGCCUGCUCUUCUGAACAAACACUUCAGCCCUGCCGACGCAGUGAGAGUCUGGAGCAGCAACACAAGGAUUACGAGCGGAGGCUGCGCUUGUUGAGCCUGGAUGAUAUGGAGCGGCUGGCGACUCGCAUGCUUCACCCUGAGGCUGUGGAGUGCAUGGAGCUGUCCUUCCUGGACUGAGGAAUACUGCUGCUGCCCUCUCCACCUCUCCCCUCUCUUCUCCCCUCUCCCCUCUCUCCUCUCCUCUUUACUCUCUCCUCCCCCUCUCCUCUCCUCUCCUUACUUUGUUUAAAAGAAUAGAAGCACACCCAGUGAGCAAGGCAUUGAGCAGCCCCACAUCCCGCUUCACAAUACCGCUACAUAUUGACUGACUGUUCGCAUUGUGUGUGUUUGGUAAGACAAACCACAUUUUCUACUUUCUGCUAUUUUAAAAGGAGCCCAGUUUGGUGCAGGAGGCUUGUGGGUAACAGAGUUGUUUUUGCUGGGGACUGCAGCCCUUCCAUUACCAUUGCUCAUAGAGGGGAGAUUGUUUUACUUUCAAGCCUUUUUCUUUAAUAAAUCCGGACGUUUGGAAAUACAUACUGUGUGGGCGUUUCCCUUCUUCAUGGCUCCAUGCAGCAUCCUGUCACACAACAAGCCCUGAAAGGGGAUCUAUACAUAUUUAUUCUCAAUCACCAGGCAGUAAUCGCAGCUACAAUACAGACACACAACGUGUCACUUUUAUUGGCUGAAACUUUAAACUACGACUAGAAGCCUCUGAAGCCUUUUCAUGGCCCUCCACCUGUCCUUGAUCAGAACGCUGUCCUUCCUCUAAGGGGUCGCUUUCCAUGCUAAUCUUCCGUUUCCUCUGCAGAAAGGACAGGACAGUGUUCACAGAGCUCCCUUCACUCCCGCAAAGCCAAGACAUCCAGGCUCUUGUGCUGCUUUGCUCCCCAGCGCCCGAGUGCUUGCUGGCAGUGCUGAGGCACGCUCACCCUGAACAGCAGCGCUAGCUUUGUCUAUUGAGGAAGGCUUGGCGCUCCCGUUGGUUCAUCAGUAAUAAUGAUUUAGUGGAGACAGUACAGUGCUCGGGGGGGGGAUGAAAGUUUACAUCAGAAUAGAAACUUUGCACAAAGUCAACCUGCUGGAAGUGGAAUCAUUUCUGCUGCGCAGCUUCAGAUUCCACAGCUUGACGAGGAACACAAUAUAAAAAACACAUGUUCCUCUGGAAGCCACACAGUUAUUAUAUAUAUGAUUAGUGUUAACACUCAUAGCAUUGACCUGGUAUCCCUGGUAUUUACCUCCGAGCCCUGCUGUGUAACAGGGGUGUUUCAUAAUCCCUCCUCUCUUCAGUGGCAUGAAAGACUGCAACUGUGCAGUCAGCGCCAGGAUUCUCAACUCCUGCAGUGCGACCUCUGACAAGGGAAGUGAACCUCAUAUACAAGGUUAGACAACAAGGCAGUCACAAGCAGACAGGUGGUGCAGUGGGCUAGUUCACUAGCAUGCUGUGCUGCUUACCUUGGGGGACUGAGUUCAAAUCCAGGUGAGUUCCUCCUUUGUUUUCAAAGACUUGGUUAAUUUCUUAUAUAAGACAAUGAAAAAGCAGACUAC